GAUGAACGCUGGCGGCGUGCCUAAUACAUGCAAGUCGAACGCUGAAGGAGGAGCUUGCUCUUCUGGAUGAGUUGCGAACGGGUGAGUAACGCGUAGGUAACCUGCCUGGUAGCGGGGGAUAACUAUUGGAAACGAUAGCUAAUACCGCAUGACAACAGUUAUUGCAUGAUAACUGUUUAAAAGGGGCAACUGCUCCACUACCAGAUGGACCUGCGUUGUAUUAGCUAGUUGGUGAGGUAACGGCUCACCAAGGCGACGAUACAUAGCCGACCUGAGAGGGUGAUCGGCCACACUGGGACUGAGACACGGCCCAGACUCCUACGGGAGGCAGCAGUAGGGAAGCUUCGGCAAUGGACGGAAGUCUGACCGAGCAACGCCGCGUGAGGGAAGAAGGGUUUCGGAUCGUAAAGCUCGGUUGUAAGAGAAGAACGAGUGUGAGAGUGGAAAGUUCACACUGUGACGGUAUCUUACCAGAAAGGGACGGCUAACUACGUG
rnacentral:rRNA from 1 species